UACGUAGGGUGCGAGCGUUGUCCGGAAUUAUUGGGCGUAAAGGGCUCGUAGGCGGUUUGUCGCGUCGGGAGUGAAAACCAUGGGCUUAACUCAUGGCUUGCUUCCGAUACGGGCAGACUAGAGGCAUGCAGGGGAGAACGGAAUUCCUGGUGUAGCGGUGAAAUGCGCAGAUAUCAGGAGGAACACCGGUGGCGAAGGCGGUUCUCUGGGCAUGUCCUGACGCUGAGGUGCGAAAGCGUGGGGAGCAAACAGG
rnacentral:rRNA from 1 species